rnacentral:rRNA from 1 species
UACAGAGGUCCCAAGCGUUGUUCGGAUUCACUGGGCGUAAAGGGUGCGUAGGUGGUGAGGUAAGUCGGAUGUGAAAUCUCCGAGCUCAACUCGGAAAUUGCAUUGGAAACUACCUUGCUUGAGGGUUGGAGGAGGGACUGGAAUGCUUGGUGUAGCAGUGAAAUGCGUAGAUAUCAAGCGGAACACCAGUGGCGAAGGCGAGUCCCUGGACAACACCUGACACUGAGGCACGAAAGCUAGGGGAGCAAACAGG